CAGUCGCCACGGUAAUACAGAGGGUGCGAGCGUUAAUCGGAUUUACUGGGCGUAAAGCGUGCGUAGGCAGCUUCUUAAGUCGGAUGUGAAAUCCCUGAGCUUAACUUAGGAAUUGCAUUCGAUACUGGGAAGCUAGAGUAUGGGAGAGGAUGGUAGAAUUCCAGGUGUAGCGGUGAAAUGCGUAGAGAUCUGGAGGAAUACCGAUGGCGAAGGCAGCCAUCUGGCCUAAUACUGACGCUGAGGUACGAAAGCAUGGGGAGCAAACAGGAUUAGAUACCCCGGUAGUCCCUGUCUCUUAUAC
rnacentral:rRNA from 1 species